rnacentral:misc_RNA from 1 species
GAUGAAGAACGUAGCGAAAUGCGAUACGUAAUGUGAAUUGCAGAAUUCAGUGAAUCAUCGAAUCUUUGAACGCAUAUUGCGCUCUCUGGUAUUCCGGAGAGCAUGCUUGUUUGAGUAUCAGUAAACACCUCAACUUCCAUAUCUUUUUUGAAAUGGGAGUUGGACUUGAGUGAUCCCAACGCUUUUCCUCACCGAAAAGUGGCGGGUUACUUGAAAUGCAGGUGCAGCUGGACUUUUCUCUGAGCUAGAAGCAUAUCUAUUUAGUCUGCCUAAAAAACAGAUUAUUACCUUUGCUGCAGCUAACAUAAAGGAGAUUAGUUCUUGUGCUGACUGAUGCAGGAUUCACAAAGACAGGCUUCGGCCGACUUUGUAAACUCGAUCUCAAAUCAAGUAAGACUACCCGCUGAACUUAAGCAUAUCAAUAAGCGGAGGA